rnacentral:rRNA from 1 species
UACGAAGGGGGCUAGCGUUGCUCGGAAUCAGCUGGGCGUAAAGGGUGCGUAGGCGGGUCUUUAAGUCAGGGGUGAAAUCCUGGAGCUCAACUCCAGAACUGCCUUUGAUACUGAGGAUCUUGAGUUCGGGAGAGGUGAGUGGAACUGCGAGUGUAGAGGUGAAAUUCGUAGAUAUUCGCAAGAACACCAGUGGCGAAGGCGGCUCACUGGCCCGAUACUGACGCUGAGGCACGAAAGCGUGGG